AAGAAUCAAAGAAGUGCAGAAAUU
rnacentral:siRNA from 1 species